UAAAUAAAUUGUAGUCAAUUUUAAGUUGGCACUUCUGAACUGCAAAUUAAAUUCAAGAUGUCAAUGUCAUCGACAUCAAUUUUAACGAUUCAUCAAAGAAUAACGAAUUUGUAGCGGUUUUUGUGUCGACUCCAGAUAAAUACCCAUGUGUACGCGGAAAUGGUGGAAUAAUAACCUUGCAAUGCUCAAGAGGAGAACAAGUACCUCUAAUAGAAGAAAAGACUGAUUAUGAAAAGGCUAUUAUAGCUCACCGCUUCCUUAUCGUCCCCGGCACGUUAAGCUCGCCUAUCCUAUAUUGAGAUAGUGCCCGCAUGGUACCAGUGUUAAAACCGGGCUUAGGAAACCGGAAAACUAACCACCGAUGUAAUUAAAUGGAAGAACGGAGCUUGCGGCCGCUUAUCCAAAUACAGAAACCGACGUAAUUAUCACGUAUCUGGUCAUGGCAAGGCGACCGUUCUGCACUUCUACUUAUUAUUUAUCGUUACGUGUACCAACCUGUUACCUCAGAACUUGUUCAAAUUAAUAAAGUUAUAUCUGUAGGAAUUUAAUUAUAUUUUUGUGGUUAUGUUAAUAAAUUCAAUAAAUUAUUGAUAUUAUUACGUUCAUAUUUGAUUUGUUUUAUUAUUUUGUAUUUGAUAAAUACAAAAUUAGCUAAUACCGGCUCCUUAUUUGCUUUGCAAAGUUGUUUGUUAAUAUCCAUACAUUCUUUCACUAAUAAUAUACUACCAAGACAUUCUCAUAAUUUUCAAAUACUCAUCAGGAGACGGUUAAGAGCUGGUUAAGAAGGCAUCAAAACAUAAUUUAUGAGACUGCGAACCCAGUAUACUGUCUAUGGCAAUAAAAUAUGGGAAUCAGAACGUAUAUAGUGUAGUGAUGGCAAAAGUGGAAUUGGUUCCAGGUAAUCGGAACACGCAAAUAUUAGAAGUCCGAAAACAGACAGCUU